rnacentral:rRNA from 1 species
GACGAACGCUGGCGGCGUGCUUAACACAUGCAAGUCGAACGAUGAAGCCGGAGCUUGCUCUGGUGAAUUAGUGGCGAACGGGUGAGUAACACGUGAGUAACCUGCCCUUGACUCUGGGAUAACUGCUAGAAAUGGUAGCUAAUACCGGAUACGACCCUCGGAGGCAUCUCCAGGGGGUGGAAAGAAUUUCGGUCAAGGAUGGACUCGCGGCCUAUCAGCUAGUUGGUGAGGUAACGGCUCACCAAGGCGACGACGGGUAGACGGCCUGAGAGGGUGACCGGCCACACUGGGACUGAGACACGGCCCAGACUCCUACGGGAGGCAGCAGUGGGGAAUAUUGCACAAUGGGCGCAAGCCUGAUGCAGCAACGCCGCGUGAGGGAUGACGGCCUUCGGGUUGUAAACCUCUUUUAGAAGGGAAGAAGCGAAAGUGACGGUACCUGCAGAAAAAGCACCGGCUAACUACGUGCCAGCCGCCGCGGUAA